AGCAUGGACUAGACCUGAGGCUGGGGUUAGACUCUUUGGUCCGGGUGGCCGGGCCCCAGCGCACGGACCAACGUUCUAAAGGAGGAGAGAACUCGGAGCCCAGCUAGGGGCGGGAUUUCAUGAUGCAAGAGGAUGGAUGACCACCUGUUUGGGAUAUAACAGAAAGGAUUCCUGCAUUGGAUUGGAGAUUGACUGUCUGGCCUUUAGGAUCACAUCAUUAAAUUUUAAAAUUAUUUAUCUGGGAGAGAAAGUUAAUGUAUGGGAGAACCCAGGACUCAAAAAGGCUUCAGAAGGUUUAAUAAUGGGUCAAAACUAACGAAAUAAAAUUUAAUAGUGAUGAAUGUGAAGGCCUGCAUUUAGGUUCAAAAAAUCAAUGUGCAAGUUCAGGAUGGAGGAAAACCUGCCUUAACAGCAAUUAAUAUUAAAAAAAAAUUAGGGUUUUUAGUUCACUGAAAGUUCAAUAUAAGUCAAUGCUAUAAUAUGACUGCCAAUAAAAGCUAAUGCAGACUUUGCAUUAAGAGAAGCCUAGUGUCUGGGACAAGAAAGGAAGCAGUCUCACUACACCAAGAUUAUAAAAGAUCUGGAUCCCAUGUCAUGUAAGAAACAAAUAUACAAAUGAGGGAAAUUUUGCCCAGAAAAUGAAGACUUAGAAGGGGAGGAAAGAGAGAUGAUAUCUGUUUUCAAAUACCUGAAGGAUUGUCAAUAUUCAAGAGAAAAUGGAAUUAUUCUGUGUAACUCAAGCCACCAGAACUCUCAUUAAUGAAUGAAAGUUAUAGGGAAGUAGAUUCAAGCUUAAUAUAAGUAAGAACCAAUUGCCAAGUCUUGUUAUUUCUACCAUCACAACAUUUCUUGAAUCUGUCUCCUUCACUGCACUCACAAAGCCACUUCUCUAGCUCAAGUCUUAACUCCUCUUGGCUAGAGUAUUACAGAAGCCUAACUGAUCUCUCACCCUCAAAUUUCUUCUCUAAUAUUUUAUACAGCUCCCAAGGUGAUAUAAUUAAAAUGUUGGUCUGACUAUAUCACUCCAUUGCUUGGUUAAAAUACAGUGGCAGCAUCUUGCCUGUAUGAUAAAACAUAAACUAUUUUUCAAUGAAGGCCCAUUACAACCUGGCAGUAACCAUCUUUCCUAAUUUAUUACCCCACUUCCGUUGCUCUAAAGUUCAGCCACUCUUACUGUUCUACAGAUUUCUACUUCGCAGCUCCCUAUCACUGUACAGGCUGUUUCCCAAGCCUUAAAUGCUCUACCUCCUUACUUCACUUCAGAAAAUCUUACACUUCUUUCAAGACUCAACUUUCUAGGGCCAUACCUCCAUAGUUACCUUAUAUUUGUUUUGCAUAUAUUUAUUCCAUAUAUUCUUCCCAUUACACUCACAUACAGAUACAUGCAUGCAAUAAAUUUAAGCAUCUUGAGAAUAGAGAUUUUUUCAUCUUUGCUUCUAUAUCCCCACCAUCUGGCACAAUGUUUAACAUGUAGGGCAUAGGCCAAAGGGCCAUAAAACUGUGCAUACUCUUUGACCCAGCAAUACCACUACUAGGUCUGUACCCCAUAGAGAGUAAAGAUGGAGGAAGAUAAUCUACUUGUGCAAAAAUAUUUAUGUCUUUUUGUGGUGGGAAAGAACUGGAAAUUAAAGGAAUAUCCAACAAUUGGAGAAUUACUGAUUAAAAUUGUGGUAUAUGAUUGUAAUGGAAUACUAUUGUGCCAUUAGAAAUGAUAAACAAGAUGAUCACAAAAAAACGAGAAAGAAAUGAAAGUGAUGAAAUGAAGUGAUACAAAGCAAAGUUGGCAGAAUAAAUAGUACAUUAUACACAGUAACAAUAAUAAUGUACGAUGCUCAAAUGUGAAUGGUUUAACUAUUAUCAAUAAGGCAAAGAUCCAGGACAAUUCCAAGAGACUCAAUUAAAAAAAAGGAUAUCCACUACCAUAGAAGGAAUAGUUGAAAUUAGAAUGCAAAUUGAAACAUCAUUCUUUAUUUCUCCCAUGCAUUUUUCUCUGUGUAAGCAAUGUAUGUCUUUCACAACAUAAUGAACUUGAAAUAUGCAUUAUAUAUUAAUAUAUGUGAAACCUAUCUCAUAUUACCUGAAUUAUUGGGGAGGUGGGAGAUAUGGAAGGGAGAGAGAGAAAAUGGGUUGCAAAAUAAUAGAAAACAAAUAUUUUAAAAAUUAUAUUGAUAUGUAAUCUGAAAAAAUUAAAAUGUAUUAUAUUAAAAAUUA